CUCAAAGGAUGCUGGCCAGCUCUGUGGUGGGAGCAGCCUGAAAGUCCCUGGGAUCUGGGAACUUUUAUCGUUCUGAGGAACAAGAAAAACAGAGACACCUGGAAAAGCUUUGCAGGAGGAGUGGCCACAGGUCACCUGGUAGCAUGUACAUGUCUGCAGGGCCCAGCUGAGUUCUGGGGGAUGGAAGGUGGCUCCAGGAAAUGGUGACCUGAGGAACAGGUGAUACGCACUCGCAGGUGCAUACAUGUCCU
rnacentral:lncRNA from 1 species